CGAAAUAUAACGCAGUGGUAGCGUGCCUGCUUUGGGAGCAGGAAGCCAUGUGUUCGAAUCACAUUAUUUCGA
rnacentral:tRNA from 1 species